AAUGUUCAUUGAGUUGAAACAGUUGUUUCUGUUUCAGGGCCAUGUUCCAUGGGCAUUUCUGGGAAGAGAGCCUGCAGUGUACAGCUUUUCACCUGGUUCUGUGUGGUGUCCCUUAGUGGAGGGGAAAGAGGAGCUCAGCAACCUGGAGCCUUGACCUGCCUCAAUAAUUACAUAACUACAAUCCAUUGUAGUUGGACUAUCACCCUGCCAAGACAAGACAGAGUCCAUCAGCUCCUCUUCACCAGCAACUUGGAACCACAUGAAAACUACAGCUGCAUCCUCCAGAUGGGUACCUGCACUAGAACUCCCACUAAACAGAAUACUGACAGUAUUUGAUGAGUUCACCAUCAGUUUCCAUGGCAGCAUAUCUGGAGUGGACCUGGUGUAUCUGUUGGACCCCAACUAUCUGCCCAGGCAGAACAGUGAGUGCUAUCUUACCCCAGGAUCAGAAGGAUAGGAGUAGGAGUACUGGGUAUUCCAGGCAAGGAAAUUUUCUAGCCUUCAGGAACAGUGAUGUGUUAGUUGCUGAGUGUGGUAGCACAUUACUGGGGGAGGCUGAGGCUGUAGAUAGCCCGAGUUUGGGAGUUCUGAGAGUAGGGCUAAAGUUGAUUGGAUGUUGACACUAAAUCCAGCUUUAAAAAGGUAAAUCCCAGGGGCAGCUAGGUGGCGCAAUGGGUAGAGCACCAACCCUGGAAUCAGGAGGUCCUAAGUUCAAAUCUGACCUCAGACACAUAACACUUAGUAUCUGUGUGGCUUUGGGCAAGUCACUUAAUCCCAUUGCCUAGCCAAAAAAAAAAAAAAAGGUAAAUCCCUAGAAGUGGAUGGCCAGAUUGUCUGAGGAAAUAUGAACCAGCCCAGAAUGGAAAAAUAGAGCAGGUUAAAGCUUCCAUAAUUAUCAGCUCUGGGAUCAGGCCAUAAGCAGCAACUGUGCUUGGCUGAGAUAAGAAGACCUGGUCUCAAACAAACAAAAAACCAAACCCAAUCCCAAAGAAACACAAAGCACUGAUAUGUCCAACAUGUCAGUGGGUGGCUAGAUCCAAGGAAGAUGGGCUUAUGCUCCUUGAAAGAGCCACAUUACAGCCUCUUAGCCUUGAUGCUUUAUGUUCACAUCCUUUGAGUUUAGGAAGAUGCCAGGGGGCUUUCUUAUCACCCAGUGUCUCUACCUGUCCUGCUUCAUUUUGCAAAGAAAGACUUAGAGUUAGGAGCAAGUCUAGGGUCUCUGUUCAGAAUCAGACAGGAGCUCAAGUUUUAGAGUCUAGAGCAGACACAGUUGUAUGUACCUUGGGAAUGGUGGGAAGUGAUUAACAACUUGUCAGCGGAAUGAGGGAGCAUGACC
rnacentral:lncRNA from 1 species